GUGGGGAAUCUUGCGCAAUGGGCGAAAGCCUGAUCCAGCAAUGCCGCGUGAGUGAUGAAGGCCCUAGGGUUGUAAAGCUCUUUUACCCGGGAUGAUAAUGACAGUACCGGGAGAAUAAGCUCCGGCUAACUCCGUGCCAGCAGCCGCGGUAAUACGGAGGGAGCUAGCGUUGUUCGGAAUUACUGGGCGUAAAGCGCGCGUAGGCGGUUUUCCAAGUCAGGGGUGAAAGCCCGGGGCUCAACCCCGGAAUAGCCCUUGAAACUGGAAGACUAGAAUCUUGGAGAGGUCAGUGGAAUUCCGAGUGUAGAGGUGAAAUUCGUAGAUAUUCGGAAGAACACCAGUGGCGAAGGCGACUGACUGGACAAGUAUUGACGCUGAGGUGCGAAAGCGUGGGGAGCAAACAGGAUUAGAAACCCGAGUAGUCC
rnacentral:rRNA from 1 species